UACGUAGGAGGCGAGCGUUGUCCGGAGUUACUGGGCGUAAAGGGUGCGCAGGCGGAUGCGUGCGGUUUGCGGUGAAAGCUCUCAGCUUAACUGGGAGAGGGCCGUGAAGACGGCGUAUCUUGAGACUCGGAGAGGGACGUGGAAUUCCGGGUGGAGCGGUGAAAUGCGCAGAUAUCAGGAGGAACACCGAUGGCGAAGGCAGGUCUCUGGGCUGUAACUGACGCUGAGGAGCGAAAGCAUGGGGAGCGAACAGG
rnacentral:rRNA from 1 species